rnacentral:rRNA from 1 species
AGAGUUUGAUCCUGGCUCAGAACGAACGCUGGCGGCAGGCUUAACACAUGCAAGUCGAACGAAGGCUUCGGCCUUAGUGGCGCACGGGUGAGUAACACGUGGGAAUAUACCUCUCGGUGGGGAAUAACGUUGGGAAACUGACGCUAAUACCGCAUACGCCCUUAGGGGGAAAGAUUUAUCGCCGAGAGAUUAGCCCGCGUCCGAUUAGCUAGUUGGUGAGGUAAAAGCUCACCAAGGCGACGAUCGGUAGCUGGUCUGAGAGGAUGAUCAGCCACACUGGGACUGAGACACGGCCCAGACUCCUACGGGAGGCAGCAGUGGGGAAUAUUGGACAAUGGGCGCAAGCCUGAUCCAGCCAUGCCGCGUGUCUGAAGAAGGCCUUCGGGUUGUAAAGGACUUUUGUCCGGGAGGAAACCCUGAUCGUUAAUAGCGGUCGGGACUGACAGUACCGGAAGAAUAAGCACCGGCUAACUACGUGCCAGCAGCCGCGGUAAU